CACACCAUUCUUGAUUUGCAAUUUUGCAUGCAUUUUUUGAUUACACACGGUAUUAUGUGCGUCAUAUUGUGGUUACAUCAGAAUGCAGAAGUGCAUGACUCAGAAGUGUCAGGUUUACAGAGGUAAUGUGCCACACAAUAAGCUAUUAAACAUCCCAACACUAUGCACGAGAACAUGAUUAACACCUGGAUAAGCAUGUCAGCAUGCACAGGACUUGCACAGUACAGAAUUAAAGAUAAAAGCCAUGCAAAAGUCAUAUUGGUGUAACUUUGGCACAGGUUCAAAAGACUUGGAUGUGCAUUCAAAUAUGCAAAUAUGGUUUAGUCAUUCAAGUGUGAAAUGUGCACCUUUACAGAAUGCGUGGACAGAUAUAUGGGUUAAAAAACACGCAGAUGUAUUUACUUCAGCGUAAUGAAAAACAACUGUACAUCAACAGUGUUAACAUUUAAAUGUCUAGCAUAGAGGAAGUUGUCAGAGUGGUGUGAUAUAGAAACUACAAACACUCAUGAAAAAAAAAAAGGUGUGUAUUUGUUUUGCAUUUCUUUUCUUUCUUUCUUUUUAAGGCAUGGUGACUACACAGCCCUCUGAGAGACACACAUCAUAAUCCAGUGCAGGUGCUGAACGAAAAAAAACCUCAAAUCUGUUCAGAUCAAGAGAGGUCUAACAGUAAUGAGACCUAUCUUGUAGAACACACACACACACACACACACACACACACACACACACACAACGGGACCUUGUUUGCCCCCAAAUCAGGAAGCGCGCGAGCCCACUCUCUGCGCGCGCAGGCACCUUCCGCUCGCGCCCCCGCUCCAUUAAUUAACUGAAAGUAACUGAAAACAGCUCGAGGCUUAAUCAAGUAAACCCGGGACUGAGACAAUGAGCGCGAGGGACAAUAAAUCAACCAUGAAGAAGUGCCUCUUGUCUCGUGCGACGCUGAAUUGGAUGUGUCGCGGUAAAUUUAAUUUAUAAGUCUUUCUUUCCGACCUUUGUCUCUUAAAAUGGGUGACCAAUAGACAUCGGCAUGAGUGGAAAAACACCGGCCUGCCUCUCAGUGCAACAGGAGGAGAGACGAGCGUCUUCUUAAAGAGACACGAGCCAUUUUGUUUCGACUGUACUUCCAGCUCACGCGCGCUGCUCUCAAACGUCCUACAGGUCAGAAGGGGGCGGUGCACGUGCCUGUAUACAGUAGAAACUCACCCUCAAGCAGGGGCUCCUGGUCUGAUAGUCAUUCAUCCAGUGUUAUAUGAACCCCAGUUUUGUUUUUACUUAGAGAAAUGUAAAAUUUGGUUUACCAGAAUAUGGCAAAAAUAAAUAAAUAAAUAAAUACAUA